CUACGGGAGGCUGCAGUGGGGAAUAUUGGACAAUGGGCGAAAGCCUGAUCCAGCCAUGCCGCGUGUGUGAAGAAGGCCUUCGGGUUGUAAAGCACUUUCAGUGGGGAAGAAAGCCUUGGGGCUAAUACCCUCGAGGAAGGACAUCACCCACAGAAGAAGCACCGGCUAACUCCGUGCCAGCAGCCGCGGUAAUACGGAGGGUGCGAGCGUUAAUCGGAAUUACUGGGCGUAAAGCGCGCGUAGGCGGUCUGAUAAGCCGGUUGUGAAAGCCCCGGGCUCAACCUGGGAACGGCAUCCGGAACUGUCAGGCUAGAGUGCAGGAGAGGAAGGUAGAAUUCCCGGUGUAGCGGUGAAAUGCGUAGAGAUCGGGAGGAAUACCAGUGGCGAAGGCGGCCUUCUGGACUGACACUGACGCUGAGGUGCGAAAGCGUGGGUAGCAAACAGGAUUAGAUACCCUAGUAGUC
rnacentral:rRNA from 1 species